rnacentral:tRNA from 1 species
GCCCCGGUGGCGGAAUUGGUAGACGCUGCGGACUUAAAAUCCGUUGGUAGCAAUAUCGUGCCGGUUCAAGUCCGGCCCGGGGCA